UACGGAGGGUGCAAGCGUUAUCCGGAUUCACUGGGUUUAAAGGGUGCGUAGGCGGGCAGGUAAGUCCGUGGUGAAAUCUCUGAGCUUAACUCAGAAACUGCCAUGGAUACUAUUUGUCUUGAAUAUUGUGGAGGUAAGCGGAAUAUGUCAUGUAGCGGUGAAAUGCUUAGAUAUGACAUAGAACACCAAUAGCGAAGGCAGCUCGCUGGGACGUUACUGACACUGAGGCGCGAAAGCGUGGGGAGCGAACAGG
rnacentral:rRNA from 1 species